AAAUUAAAUGAUAAAAUUGGUUAUUGAUAUUUGUACGAAUUCCUCUAAUUCAAGAGUGAAAAGUUUUGGUUGCCUGUUUCCAACUUUAACUCUCUCACUAUACAACAUGCCAGGAGGUACUAUUUGCAAAGAACAAAAUACCAAGUGCAAAUGCAUCGUUAGAGAAAGAACUAUUUGCCCGAAGAAAAGUUCCUGUGGAAACCCUUGCGAAUCGGAUGCCUGUGUCGAAGUGUACAGAGAUUUGGGAGAGUGUUUAAAAAAAGCUAUCGUCAGUGCAGUAAAAAAAGAAAAAGAAUGCUGCGAUUGUUAAAAUGUAAAAUUCGUCAUACCACAAACAUUUAUAAUGCAUAUUAUGUGUAGACCUAAUUUUAUCAUAAUUUAUGAUCGAAAAUUAAAAUAUAUCUACUUUUUGAAUUGAA